GCCGGGUUGGCCGAGUGGUCAAUGGCACCUGACUGUAAAUCAGGCGGCACCGCCUACGGAGGUUCGAAUCCUUCACCCGGCACCC
rnacentral:tRNA from 1 species